rnacentral:rRNA from 1 species
AUCUAUGGCAUGCCACCUUGAAUAAGCCUGAUCCCAUCUGAUCUCAGAAGCUAAUCAGGGUCAGGCCUGGUUAGUACCUGGAUGGGAGACCACCUAGGAAGAUCAGGUGCUGUAAAUG